rnacentral:rRNA from 1 species
UACGGAGGGUGCGAGCGUUAAUCGGAAUUACUGGGCGUAAAGCGCGCGUAGGCGGUUCGAUAAGUCGGGUGUGAAAGCCCUGGGCUCAACCUGGGAAUUGCAUUCGAUACUGUCGAGCUAGAGUGUGGUAGAGGGAAGUGGAAUUUCCGGUGUAGCGGUGAAAUGCGUAGAUAUCGGAAGGAACAUCAGUGGCGAAGGCGGCUUCCUGGACCAACACUGACGCUGAGGUGCGAAAGCGUGGGGAGCAAACAGG